UACAGAGGGUGCAGGCGUUAAUCGGAAUUACUGGGCGUAAAGCGCGCGUAGGUGGUUUUGUUAAGUUGGAUGUGAAAUCCCCUCGGCUCAACCGGGGAACGACGCAUGAAACUGGCAGCUAGAGUACCAAAGAGGGGGGGUGGAAUUCCCGGUGUAGCGGUGAAUGCGUAGAUAUCGGGAGGAACACCUGUGGCGAAGGCGGCCCCCUGGUUGGAUACUGACGCUGAUACGCGAAAGCGUGGGGAGCAAACAGG
rnacentral:rRNA from 1 species